UACGCCAUUUUCUUUAAAAGUUGCUAAGAAAGUCGGAUUUUUGUUUUUCAUUAAACAUUGGAUGAAAAAACAAAACUUACCAGUUUAUUUGAUAACACCAAUUUGUUACGAGUAGAGCGGGGUCAUUUCCAAAGAGCUAUAUAAAAAUGAUUUUAUACUUCCUAGCAUUUCCGACUGGCGUGUCUGACUUACUGUACAUGACGUCAUAAAUUUUGUCAGCGACAUCAAAACACUGGUCAGGUAAAGUGAUGUAUAACCUGCCAGAAGUCAGAUCCACUUAAACCAGCACAGAAACCUGAACUGCAGCAAAUAAAGGUGUUAAGUCCUUUUGAACUGAUUAGAGUUGACCUGAUAGGAUCUUUCACAACUAGUCAAGAGUCUUUACAUCUUCACUGCAACAGACUAUUACACAAAGUGGGUUGAGGCAUUUCUGAUUCCAUCAAAGCAGGCCUCAGAUGUUGUUAAGUGCUUCCAAAAGCUUUUUCUAGAUGUGGCGCUGUGAACUCACUGACCAGGGAAAAGAAUUUGUAAACAGUAUUAUAAAUGCAUUCCUGCGGAUGAUUAAGGUGCGAGUCAUUACAUCAGAGAGCCCCAUCUUCUUGCUCCCUUCUUACACAGCAUUGUGGGAUGCUAGUGACAUAGACCACUGGCUAUUUAAAAAGGU